UACGGGAGGCAGCAGUGGGGAAUAUUGCACAAUGGGCGCAAGCCUGAUGCAGCCAUGCCGCGUGUAUGAAGAAGGCCUUCGGGUUGUAAAGUACUUUCAGUCGUGAGGAAGGUGUUAAGGUUAAUAACCUUAGCAAUUGACGUUAGCGACAGAAGAAGCACCGGCUAACUCCGUGCCAGCAGCCGCGGUAAUACGGGGGUGCGAGCGUUAAUCGGAAUUACUGGGCGUAAAGGGCACGCAGGCGGUUAAUUAAGUUGGAUGUGAAAUCCCCGGGCUUAACCUGGGAAUGGCAUUCAAGACUGGUUAGCUAGAGUCUUGUAGAGGGGGUAGAAUUCCAUGUGUAGCGGUGAAAUGCGUAGAGAUGUGGAGGAAUACCGGUGGCGAAGGCGGCCCCUGGACAAAGACUGACGCUCAUGUGCGAAAGCGUGGGGAGCAAACAGGGAUUAGAUACC
rnacentral:rRNA from 1 species